rnacentral:lncRNA from 10 species
GUUUGUUGUAAACUCAAUUGCUUCUUGGAUUUAGUCCUUCAGCAUUAUCUGUGAUGCACUUAAUGAAAGGCCAUAGACUGGAAAGGAAACCAUGUAAAACAAAGAAACCACUGCUCAGCCUAGAGACAAGUUCACUACUAUGUACGUAAGAGUAAGAUGAACCAAACUGCAUUGGAAAUAUCAUGUGUUUUCUGACAUGCUCAAAAUUCUAAUUUCAUUAGCGAAAGGGAAAUGUCAGCCAAGUUGAGCUGCAAAGACAUUGAUAUCCAGAGUUUUUUUUUUUUUUCACUUUUCUCUAAUUACUAAUGUAUUUAAAAUACAUUAACAGGUUCAUUUCCUCAAGAGAUUCAAGAUUGAAUUACCUCUGGCCAUUUAUCUGUAUGAGUUCCUGUACCAGAAUGUGACUGGAAGACAAUGAAGCAGAAGGAAAAAUUUAACACCGGCACGGCACUGUCUUGGAGCUAAUCGUUUUUCACCAAACACACACAUGUAGCAGCAAAACAUCCUUAAAAUAUCAGAGAAUAUACAGAGAAUGAGGGUAUCAAUUCCCACACAUCCCCGGAGACUCAAGCAGAAAUAUUGAGCAAUAAAGACAAAGAGAAUAAUUAGAGAAGCUGAAGAUCUCCAUGAAAAGGUUUUUGAUGUGGAUGCUGUAGAUCAGACAACAAAGAAAUCGAGAAAGAACAAAGAUUGCACUCCUGUCGCUGGCCUACAGACUCCAAAACCACCUCCCAACAUGUGGUCUUAUGGUGGCUCUGACUGGAGUGAAAAUUUUCCGUAGAAGACUGGUGUCUUGGACAUAAGUAAUUCAAAAAUAGGAGGCAGUGGAAAGGGUCACAUUGGUAAAUGCAAAGGCUGACUCAAUUUGGAACUUGGGUGGCAAGAACAUGAGACUCAAGGUGUAAGUAUAAAUGAACAGAUUUUGAAAAUAUGGAUAUAAAAGAAAAAAUAACACAAAAAAAUGAUCUUGGAGCUGGGACUGCACCAUUGCAAAAAUUUUAACUCGCCAAGAAAGCAGUGAUGUCUGAGAGAACAAGGAGUGAUAGCAAAUGCACAGUUCCAAGGGAACCAUCUGCAAGGAGCUUCCUCCCAACUGAGCAAGGUUACAGAUUGCAGAUUCUGGGCAACUGGUGUGAACUGAGAGGCACUCGGCUAAAGAUAAACCAAAGGCAUUCUUCUUUUGUUCAGAUAACAUGGGAUAUCUUCUCCAGCUUUUGGCAGUACCAAGUGCUAGGUUCUAGGAAUAUAAUGUUUCUCAGAGUAAGUCUGUUAUUUUCUAAAUAUCUUGGUGAUAAUUAUGUGGCUUUAUUUCUAUUGGACUCUAAAAAGAAAAUCAUGGGCACCAGAGUCUUGUUGUCAAACUAAUUUAACUUCCAAAGUCCUGAAGAAAAUUGAACCUAUUCCUGAGAAAACAGCCCAGGUUGCAUCUGCUGAAGGAAAACUAACUCUAUAUUGGCAUCACAUGCCCUUUAGUUAAGUCAGAGAAGAGUAAGAAGCAGGUUUGACAUUGUGGAAGACAGGGCGGUCAUUCCUCAAAGACCUAAACACAGAAAUACCAUUUGACCCAGCAAUCCCAAUACUGGGUAUACACCCAAAGGAAUAUAAGUCAUUCUUUUAUAAAGACACAAGCACAUGUAUGUUCAUUGUAGGACUAUUUACAAUAGCAAAGACAUAGAAUCUACCAAAAUGCCCAUGAAUGACAGACUGGAUAAAGAAAAUGUGGUACACAUACACCAUGGAAUACAAUGCAGCCACAAAAAGAAAUGAGAUCACAUCAUUUGCAGGGACAUGGACGGAGCUGGAGGCCAUUAUCCUUAGCAAACUAACACAGGAACAGAAAACCAAAUACCACAUAUUCUCACUUGUAAGUGGGAGCUAAAUGAUGAGAACAUGUAGACACAUAGAGAGUAACAAUACACACUAGGACCUAUCAGAGGGUGGAGGGUGAGAGGAGGGAGAGGAUCAGGAAAAAUAGUAAUGAGUACUAGGCUUAGUGUCUGGGUGAUGAAAUAAUCUGUAGAACAAACCCCCGUGACACAAUUUUACCUAUGCAACAAACCUGCACUUAUACACCUGAACUUAAAAUAAAAGUUGAAAAUAAAAAAGGCAGGGUGGGAUCCAUUUUAUUAUAUAUGUAUGUAAAUAAAUACAUAUAUAUACAUACACAUACAGUCAUGCAGUGCUUAAUGAUGGGGAUACAUUCUGAGAAAUGCAUCCUAAGGUGAUUUUGUUGUUGUGCGAACAUCAUGGAGUGUACUUACACAAACCUAGAUGGUAGAUGCUACUAUACACUUAGGUCGUAUGGUAUAGCCUAUUGCUCCUAGACUAUAAACCUGUAUAUGACUUCAAGGAAUAUUGUCAGUAAUUGUAACACAAUGGUAUUUAUGUAUCUAAAUAUAGAAAAGGUACAGUAAAAAUACUCGAUGAAAAAUGAAAUAUAGUACACCUGUAUAGCACACUGGUAUACCAUGAAUGGAGCUUACAGGACUGGAAGUUGCUUUGGGUGAGUCUGUGAGUGAGUGGUAGUGAAUGUGAAGGUCUAGGAGAUUACUGUAUACUACUUUAGACUUUAUAAACACUGUACACUUAGGAUACACUAAAUGUAUUUAAAAUAUUUUUCUUCAACAAUAAAUUAACCUUAGCUUACUGUAACUUUUUUACUUUAUAAACUUUCUCACGUUUUUUAACUUUUUGACUUUUUUUGUAAUAACGCUUAGUUUAAAACACUCAUUGUACAGCUGUACAAAAAAUAUUUCUUCUUUAUGUACUUAUUCUAUACACUUUCUUCUUUUUAUUUUAUUUUUUAAUUUUAAAACAUUUUUGUUAAAGACUAAAACACAAACACACACAGUAGCCUGAGACAACACACAGUCAUGGUCAUCAAUAUCACUGUUUUUCUUCUUCACCUCUUGUCCCGCUGUCUUCAGGGGCAAUAACAUGCAUGAACCUGUCAUCUUCUAUGAUAACAAUGCCUUCUUCUGGAAUCCCUCCUACAAGGACCUGCCUGAGGCUGUUUUACAGUUAACAUAUUUUUUGUAAGUAGGAGUAUACUUUAAAAUAACCAUAAAAAUAUAACACAGUAAAUACAUAAACCAGUAACAUAGUAAUUUAUUAUAACAGUCUAGUAUUAUGUACUAUACAUAGUUGCCUGUGCUAGACUUUUGUAAGACUGGCAGAGCAAUAGUUGUGUUUAUACCAGCAUCACCACAAACAUGUGACUAAUGCAUUGUGAUAUGACUACAAAGGCUAAGAAGUCAGCAGGCUAUAGCAAUUUUUCAGCUCCAUUAUAAUCUUAUGGGACUACUUUCAUACAUGUGGUCCAUCCUUGACUGAAACGUCAUUAUGUGGCACAUGACCAUAUACAUAUAUAUAUAUAUAAUCUUACAUUUGCAAAAUUAUCUGUAAUUUGCAAAUAAAAAAGAAUUCGAUGGGGGGUUCUUUUGGACUAUUAUAUAUAAGAAACAAACUUUAACAAGCAAAAGACUACUUGAAUUAACUUCUUUCUGGAAUCCCUAGUUGGGAGAAAUUUUAUUAUUGACUCAUGAGGUUUACAUUCAAACUUUUUGCAGUGCCCUAGUAGGCUACAUUGAAUAAUAUGGCUGGACAUAGUUCGAGGUUAAGAAAGAGAUCAGGGUAUGAAUUUUCAGCUUUGGGUAAAAUACCACCUUAGAGUCCAUUUAUUUAACAUUUUAUUGUGACUCAUUCCAGAGUCUUCUGGGAACAAAAUGUAAAACAGCCACUUGUAGGUCUAGGAGACAACCCAGUGGAGGUAUGGCUGGUAUUGGAAAAGUACAAGAACCUGGACACAAGGCUGUUGUAAAAAAAAAUGCUGCUCUCCUUCCCUGAGUGGGUAGCGGCUUAUUGACUGAUGAUGAGUGCAAUGUCUAGACACAAAGGGUUAAGACCUCAGAAACCUGGGGGAAAAUUAUGGGGGAAUAGUUCUUUCCAGCCCCUGAAGUUUCCCCCGAUAUAAACACUUCUGUCUUUUUCUAACCUUUAAUCACUAUUUUACCAGAAGUAAUAAGAUGAUUCAUCGAACUAGUAAAUUUGAGGACAAUAAUUUGGGUGUACUGACUUCAGCUCUUCCUUUUUUCUUUUAUUUACUUCUUCUUCUCCUCCUCUCCCAUCAAAAAGUCAGUAGGUGACGUACCUCCAUGCCCGAUGUGUAACCUUUGUGGUCUUUGCAUUUCAGGUCUGGUCUGGCAUGUGCAGGUGGUUAAGUGUCUCAGUCUCAUAUUUACUUGGUAGGUUUAUUUGGCUCAGACACUAAGCUACAUCAUCUCACUUAGUAGUUAUCAUGAAUCAAGGUGAAAAUUUUGACCCCAUCUGCUUCUUUUUUUCACACUUUCUCAACAUUUUUAGAACAUGGAUGGGAAAGAGGGAUGCUAUUUAUUAAGCCUGCUGAUUUCCUAGAAAACUGACAUGAAUCCCAUUUGGCAGAUGAAAAGAUUGAGUCUUUUGAGUGUGAACAAGUCAACCAAGUUCACGUCAUUAGCAAAGGAAAGGGGCCCAUAUUUGAAGCCACCUGUCUGGUUCUAUAACCUACCCUUAUAGCCAUCUUGCUGAUUUUUUGUUCUUUUCUUGUUCCUGGGUUGAACACAUACUUUAUUUCCUCAUUAAUGAAAUCAGAUUCUUUCUUUCAACGAAUUAAGUACUUAUUUGGUAACAAAACGAACUAGAAUGCGUAGAAGGUCUCAGAAUCCAUUGCUCUUCUAAGCUAAUGUUAACUCAAACAGAGAUUGAGAAAUGGAAAGAGGGAACAGGAAGAAAAGAGCAAAAGAAGAAACUUGGGAGCUGGAGAAGAGGACGUUUGGGAGGAUGGGGUUAUUGCAAAUGUCUAUUUAUGCUUCUAACUCCCUAUGGUGAGGAAAUGAUCAUGAAAAAUGACAACAAUUUCUCUUCAAGUAACUUGUGUGGUAAAAGUGGAAAAAAUAAGGGGCUUGGUUAAGUAUUAUGUAUGUUGUUAAUUACCACACACACACAAACACACACACACACAUAUACAUAUAUACACACACACACACACACACACACACACGCAUAAUUAUUUUUUAUACAGGGUCUCACACUGCCACCCAGACUGGAGUGCAGUGGCAUGAUCUCUGCUCACUUCGGCCUCCACUUCCUGGGUUCAAGUGAUUCUCAUGCCUCAGCCUCCUGAGUAGCUGGGACUACAGGCAUGCAUCAUCACGCCUGGAUAAUUUUUUGUAUUUUUUGGUACAGAUGGG